rnacentral:rRNA from 1 species
ACUCCUACGGGAGGCAGCAGUGGGGAAUAUUGGACAAUGGGCGAAAGCCUGAUCCAGCCAUGCCGCGUGUGUGAAGAAGGUCUUCGGAUUGUAAAGCACUUUAAGUUGGGUAGGAAGGGCAGUUACCUAAUACGUAAUUGUUUUGACGUUACCGACAGAAUAAGCACCGGCUAACUCUGUGCCAGCAGCCGCGGUAAUACAGAGGGGUGCAAGCGUUAAUCGGAAUUACUGGGCGUAAAGCGCGCGUAGGUGGUUUGUUAAGUUGGAUGUGAAAUCCCCGGGGCUCAACCUGGGAACUGCAUUCAAAACUGACUGACUAGAGUAUGGUAGAGGGUGGUGGAAUUUCCUGUGUAGCGGUGAAAUGCGUAGAUAUAGGAAGGAACACCAGUGGCGAAGGCGACCACCUGGACUAAUACUGACACUGAGGUGCGAAAGCGUGGGGAGC